UUAUUUUACAGGAUUCACCUUCCCUAGGAGGCAGUGAAACUGCUGAGAGUGAUUCCUCCUCACCAGCUGGUAGCCGCCAGAGUGAACGGGAUUUUUAUUCCCCAGGAGGCAGCCAGUCAGGUGGACAUGGAUCAUCUUCUCAAGGUGGUGGCUACUCGAGUGGACAGG